rnacentral:lncRNA from 1 species
GUAAUUACAAAAGUAAACUUCUUUAACAUAGCUAUAUCACAGCACGAGUGGGAGGAAGGAAGAUGAGGAGGAGAUGGUUCUUCCUACUGGUCCUAAAAAUGCUCUUGAGUGAUAUCUCUACAAUCAAGGGAUAUUGAAGCCAUCCAUUGCUUUGUCUUCCAAGUUCAUCAGUGCCUGCACAACAUGGUAACAACAAAGUCAAAGACAUUCCAGACACUCUUCCGGAAAAAGGAAAAGCUAGGAUAGCCACAUAAGAAGGAUCUCCAGGAUGAAAAUAAACAAGAUAAACCAAGUUGCCACCUCCAAGCUCAGCUUCAAUAGCCACAGUUAGGUAUUUGUGGAUUCCAGCAAUUCUAUUUCAACCAUCAAUACGAUCAUAUUCAAAAAGAUGAGGAAGAUGACGAAGUUUGUGAAGAGAGGACACUCAAGGACCCAUCCGGCCCACAAAGAAAGAGGUGGCCUCUGAGUGCAGCGCACAUGAAGCCUGCUCAACAGCCUUUGGGCAUGUGAAAUCUGUCCUAUACGUUGAGGCUUUAUGGAGAAGCACGCUAGCUAGUGUUGAUCUCCCAACAUAAGUUUCUUCUGGUGGGAAGGAUGAAGUAACUCCCCGAUAGUGUGCCACGGCACAGCUUGGCUCAAGCCUUGCAAAUGCUAGAUGAGAAAGUAUCGAUGAGACAUGAACGAAUGGCAUCAGCUAGGGGCAGCUGCAUCUGCCCUUCUUGGUGAUAAGUGGCCAUGUCUGCUCAGCCCAAGUUCUCUUCGCCCACUCAGUCCUGACUUCACGCUUCCGCCUCCAGCUCUGGCGCCCCCUGAGCCCCGCUCCCCCGACGCAGGGCUGGCUCAGGGCCGGCUCACAGCCUCACUGCGCCCCAUUCCCAGCCCCGGCCCCAGCCCAGGACUGAGCCCAGCCAUGCUCAGUCCUGCAUUGAGGCCUCCUUGGACGUCGGUUUCUAACAUAUCACUGACCAUCACACAGUCCCCAGGUUGUACUUGGAGAAGAUUGCAGCAGUAAUAAAAUAUGGAUGGUUCUGGCUUCUCUCUCUGCUCUCCACCUCCAAUAGCGUGGAAAUACGACCGACAGGCACAAGGCUCAAUCUUCUCCCUCUGGAUCUGUCUGUCCCCAUUCCUUAAUAAAAAUAGGCAGACCUUCUUUCAAAGUUCGGUGAGCAUGACUUUGAUAUUUUCUGCUAGUGUCAUAAGCUGUAAAAGUGUAGAUUUCCAAAGGAAGUGACAUUCUUCAGUCAAUUUUCUAUUGGCGGCACCAUCUUUUGUUUCCUGGACUGCUUCUUCCCAAUUGAAGUCCUUGGAUCAGUAAUGCAUGUACUG